rnacentral:lncRNA from 1 species
UAAAUUUGUUAUGAAAAUAUAUAGACUAACUAUUUAUUAUUUUAUUUUUGGGUUUUGCAAUUUGAUUAUUCCUUUAUUCUUUUAGGGGUUUUGGUUUCUCAUAGAUAUUUGUUUGUGUUUUGGAACACAUGUUUAGACAAAAUCUACCUAUUAUUGUAGUUUUUUUUUUUUUUAAGAGGACCUAUUCUCUUGUAGUUCUUAUGGAACCUUUUUGAAGGAAAUAAAACAUGAUAUCAGCCUUUUACUAAGACACAAUGAAUCAUUCACCCAAAAAUGAUUCAUG